rnacentral:rRNA from 1 species
CGGUGGAGCAUGUGGUUUAAUUCGAAGCAACGCGAAGAACCUUACCAGGCCUUGACAUGCAGAGAACUUUCCAGAGAUGGAUUGGUGCCUUCGGGAACUCUGACACAGGUGCUGCAUGGCUGUCGUCAGCUCGUGUCGUGAGAUGUUGGGUUAAGUCCCGUAACGAGCGCAACCCUUGUCCUUAGUUACCAGCACGUUAUGGUGGGCACUCUAAGGAGACUGCCGGUGACAAACCGGAGGAAGGUGGGGAUGACGUCAAGUCCUCAUGGCCUUUAUGACCAGGGCUACACACGUACUACAAUGGCCGAUACAAAGGGCAGCGACACUGCGAGGUGAAGUCAAUCCCGUAAAAUCGGUCUCAGUCCGGAUUGGAGUCUGCAACUCGACUCCAUGAAGUUGGAAUCGCUAGUAAUCGUGGAUCAGCAUGCCACGGUGAAUACGUUCCCGGGCCUU